UGCUGCUGGGCUCCUGCCGUCCGGUGUCAUUUCUCCACUGAUUCUUUGCACUUUCGUUAUUCCCUGGAUAUUCAAGGUCCCAGCCAGAGGCAUCUGGUCGGAGUCCAGCUCCAACAGGGGGUCUCAGGAGACGAAUGGAUGGUGAGGAGUCGUCGAAAGGGGGUGGAGAAACAAUACAGACACCAAAGUGAAAGUGCUGAAUCCCAAUCUUUACUUGUGAAGUUAAUCAUAUAUACUUUUCAUUUUGGCAGGCUCACAGUACUUUGUGGUUACAAAACAGGAAUCACUAUUCAAAGAAACAAAGUAUUACAUAGCUACAAUUAGAAUAGAAGAAUGUAUCUUGGCUUAUGCAUAAGCAAGCAUUUUUCCUUUCAGUUCCUGUUUUGCUUUGAGCUGUUUCUGCUUAGUUAACUUUUAAUUAUAGUUAGAAAUGUCCCAGACUAUCGGCCUAUACCUUGACUAUUCUUUCUUGACUUACUGACUGGAGCCAGUGCCACGGAUACAGCAAGUGGUUAACUUGUUAUUAAUUUUAAUCAAACAAGAGUAAGAACACAAACCAUUGUGCACAGGAACAAGAACAAGUUGCCCAGUACCAAGCACUAAUCUGUCUUCUUAACACUAAUUCUUCUUCUCUAGAUUUUAAUUUAAUUUCUCAGAAACUUCCUUGACAGGAAUACAGGGAGUUUUUCAUUAAACAUUAACAAUUUACGCUCCACAGCUGAAUCAUUGCAUUUAGAGUGAACAGAUUUAUUCUUUAAAAGUAGUUGCAUUAAUUGGGAAAGUCAUGUUUUUUCCUUCAUACUUAAAGGUCAUAUGAGAAGUUGCAACUAUACUUAUUAGAGGAAUACAAAAACAAACCAGCCCAUUCCCAGAAACAUACUGCGCUCCUCCAGAGGAUGGAUGCCUUGCACCAUCCACCUCAGUAGGGCCUUGCCAUUUCCUGAGUCAGGAGAGGGGUGCAGCAUUUCCCCCUUUUUUAUUUUUUAAUUUGAGAUGUUCGACUUGGAUGGAGAUGCUUCUGAUUGAUUUCCAGACAAGUCUGAAGAGGACUGGAAGAAUGAGAUAAACAAGAACAAUGAAUAAGAAGCCAAAACCAAUAUUAAUCAUAUAUGACCACCAAGUACUAUUGGAAAUAGUUUUUUGUACAUUAUUGAAUAAAUCUGCAGCAAAGUCAGCUGUAGAGUCAGUAGAUAAAUAAGCCUUAUAUCUUUUACUUGUUGUUGUAAAUCUUAUAUAUUGGGGCCUAUUUCAGUUUUAUUCCAGAUCCCUAAUAAAUGAGUUUGUACUUGAUUCCAUCCAUAUUGAGUUUGAUUAUAUUUUAAGGGAGUAACACAGAUCCAUUUGAAAUUAGCACGACAUUUGGUUGUCAUUUGAGUUUUUAUAGUUUGAAUCUGGUUUCCUACAUAUAAUAAAGCUUCCUCUAAGGCAUUAAUUC
rnacentral:lncRNA from 1 species